rnacentral:sRNA from 1 species
CCACCCAAUGCUCCGCCUACGCCUGACUCAAGGUUGCCUGCCGAGGCGGCGCCGCUGAUCAAGGUAAGAGACAACAACAGUAUCGAGGAAUACUUCAUGUAUGGAAUCUCAUAGGGAUGACGGCGCGAUCUUGAUGUCAAGUGAAGAACGUAGCAAUGUAAAUCCGACGAGUAACACGAUUGCAACACAAAUUGCUAAGUUGUUGUUUUAGCUAAGGAACUUAAGUCGGGAAAGGCAGUCUCAUGUUACUUGUGAAAGGCCCGUUUCGAGAGAGACGGGCCUUUUUUAUGGGCGUUUUUUACCGGUUUAGAUAAUCCGCGCCGACUCGGCCGAACGCUCAAGGCGAAUGGCCACAAACUUGGACGUUGGCGUGCUGCUGCCAGCGCCGAC